UACGGAAGGCAGCAGUGGGGAAUAUUGCACAAUGGGCGCAAGCCUGAUGCAGCCAUGCCGCGUGUAUGAAGAAGGCCUUCGGGUUGUAAAGUACUUUCAGCGGGGAGGAAGGCGAUGCGGUUAAUAACCGCGUCGAUUGACGUUACCCGCAGAAGAAGCACCGGCUAACUCCGUGCCAGCAGCCGCGGUAAUACGGAGGGUGCAAGCGUUAAUCGGAAUUACUGGGCGUAAAGCGCACGCAGGCGGUCUGUUAAGUCAGAUGUGAAAUCCCCGGGCUUAACCUGGGAACUGCAUUUUGAAACUGGCAGGCUUGAGUCUUGUAGAGGGGGUAGAAUUCCAGGUGUAGCGGUGAAAUGCGUAGAGAUCUGGAGGAAUACCGGUGGCGAAGGCGGCCCCUGGGACAAAGACUGACGCUCAGGUGCGAAAGCGUGGGGAGCAAACGAGGAUUAGGAUA
rnacentral:rRNA from 1 species